CUAGUCCUCCCAACUCAUCCACUGCUCCAAUUCUUUUUCCUUCAUAUGAACCUUAUCAAACACUUCUCUUCAACUCAACUCUAACCUACACUGCUCCAAUUCUUUUUCUAUCUUCAAAAUGAAAUCUUCUUUCAGCAACACCUUAUGGAGUCUGACAAUCUUUCAACUCGCCGGUGAUGGAUCUCUCUUGACAAAAAAGACAAAUAUUUUUGGUUUCGUUCAAGCUCUUCUAAGCCUCUGUUGACCUCACUAAGCUUAAUCUCAAUCUCUUGAUCGCGUUGUUCAAGCAAUUGAGUAUCGUCCACUAAUUUUUUCUCCUUUAGAGCAAGUUCGUGAGCUUGGUUUAGUAAACCAGCCCUAGUUAAAUCAAAACGAGCCUCCAAAUCUUUCCACUGAAGACCAAACAAGAGAAGGGAGCGUUUUUGAAAAAAUUUGAAUCCACGACCUAACAGUUUGCUGUCCAACACUUAUACCAUUUGACAAAGCUAAUUUUUUUUUUACUGUAGAUUGAUAUAUUAAUUCGUCUCAUAUGGGGUUUGAUUUUUGGCAAGGAAGGUGGGUGAUCUAUCAAACAUAAAGAGAUGGUGACAAAGUGGUGGGCGCAGGGGCAAACAAUUGUAUAAUGGAGAGCCGAAUGGAUCGAAAUUUCAGCGGAAUUCGUCAUUUCAGAGCCAGCCUUACCUACCAGCCGGACCUGCCAGCAGAACCGGUCAAGGGGCAAUAUUUGAGGACCCAGCCGGACCUGCCCAGUAGAACCGGCUGGAGGUCCGGUCAACUUACUGCCGGGACAGAAACUCAGCCGGACCUGUAGCCUAACCUGCCCAGUAGAUCCGGUCAGCAGGUCCGGUUGUCAGCGUGUUUUAGUCCGUUUUUGAAGGUUUUCUAUUGAGACUUGGAGACUAUAAAAGGCAAAAAGAGGAGCUGAGUUAGGAUUCGAUUUUUACACAACUCAGAGACCUUGGAAGCAACCACAAGGAGGAAAAAAGACCGAAUUGGCGAUUGGAGCAAGGAUUCUUAACGAUCGAAGGAGGGAAUCAACUAACGAUUGAUCUAACCUGGAAUCAAAGAGUUUUUCCUUAUUCUCUACUCAAUGAACUCUUUUAAUUCUGUUUUUGCUUUCCAAUCUCAGAUUAUGUGUAGCUAAACUUUUACAUUAGAGCUAGGGAUGUAGUUUAAUUAUGAGAUUCAUUGUUAUUUUAUGGAUUGAAGUUUUAUAUUAGCAAGAGAUUGUUUAA